UACGAAGGGGGCUAGCGUUGCUCGGAAUCACUGGGCGUAAAGCGCACGUAGGCGGAUCGUUAAGUCAGGGGUGAAAUCCUGGAGCUCAACUCCAGAACUGCCUUUGAUACUGGCGAUCUUGAGUUCGGGAGAGGUGAGUGGAACUGCGAGUGUAGAGGUGAAAUUCGUAGAUAUUCGCAAGAACACCAGUGGCGAAGGCGGCUCACUGGCCCGAUACUGACGCUGAGGUGCGAAAGCGUGGGGAGCAAACAGG
rnacentral:rRNA from 1 species